rnacentral:rRNA from 1 species
UGGGGUCGAGUUGCAGACCCCAAUCCGAACUGAGACCGGCUUUUUGGGAUUCGCUCCGCCUUACAGCAUCGCAGCCCUUUGUACCGGCCAUUGUAGCAUGCGUGAAGCCCUGGACAUAAGGGGCAUGAUGACUUGACGUCAUCCCCACCUUCCUCCGAGUUGACCCCGGCAGUCUCCUAUGAGUCCCCACCAUAACGUGCUGGCAACAUAGGACGAGGGUUGCGCUCGUUGCGGGACUUAACCCAACAUCUCACGACACGAGCUGACAACAGCCAUGUACCACCUGUACACCGACAAAAAGGGGCACCAUCUCUGGCGCUUUCCGGCGUAUGUCAAACCCAGGUAAGGUUCUUCGCGUUGCAUCGAAUUAAUCCGCAUGCUCCGCCGCUUGUGCGGGCCCCCGUCAAUUCCUUUGAGUU